AUUGAAUUGGCAGAUUUAUGUAUUAAUUUUAGAAUUUAAUUAAGUAAUUAAUAUUACAUUCAAUA
rnacentral:tRNA from 1 species